rnacentral:tRNA from 1 species
UCCCUGGUGGCUCAGACAGUAAAGAACCUGCCUGAAAUGCAGGCGACCUGGGUUCAGUUCCUGGGUAGGGAA